rnacentral:snoRNA from 1 species
UGGUCAUUACCAAAGCUUUUAGAAUUCAGUUUCUCAUUUGCUGUGGACAUGACCAUAAAAAAUUCUCCCAGUAGGUUUUCUAUAUGCUACUUUGUUAGCAAUCAAUCAACUGGGGACACUA